AAAACAUUUUUACACAUUGCAAAGUAGUUUCAUAUGUUAAUUUUUAUUUGGUCAAUCAAUUGUUUAAAUUUUUACCAGAUAAAGUUUGUUAUUUUUUUUUUAAAUAAAUACUCUCCUAGGUAGAAACUGCAGAAAUAUUGGUUAGCAUGUCUAAAAGAAACACAGAAAGUUAUCGACCAAAGAGGCCAAUCAGUGCUUACAUCUAUUUCGUUAAAGAGGAGUUCCGAAAGCAAAAAGGUGUCGACGUAGCGACAAUGGGAAGACGAUGUGCUGAAAAAUGGAGUUCAAUGAAUGAGAGCGAAAAACAAAAAUAUGUUGACAAGGCUAGUGCAGAUUUGAGACGUUACAAUCUUGAAAAGAAACACAUCGCUCCAAAAAAGAAGCAAGGACGCAAGUAAAAAUGCAUACUUGAUUUUUUAUUUGUCACAAUUUUCAAAAGUGAAGAGUGAAAAUCCAACAUUUAAAUUAACCGAAAUCGCCAAAGAAGUUUCAAAAAUGUGGAAGGCUCUGGAGCCAACGGAAAAAGAGAGAUACAAGCGGAUGGCGGAAUUGGAAAACAGUAAAAAUCAAAAGAAAGCCCCAACGAUGAAAGUGAACCAGGCAAAGAACAAACAAAGGCACCACCACCAGCUCAGUCUUAACAGUGCCACUUUUCCUUUAGAAGACAUGAAUGAAACAUACGAAGACGUCGAUUUGAUGGAUGAGCUAGAUGAAAUGAUCUAGAGCGCAGAGUGAAAAUGAGUGUUUUUUAUUUUUAUAAUUUUAUAAAAAAUUGUUGUACCAAAUUAAAUGAAUUUUAACAUA